CGAGGCACCCAUAACAAAACCAAAGAAUGCUGCAGGAUUCUCCGGAUGUAGAAAUGAUAUUUUCACAUUUUUAUUUCCACUGAUCUCCUCUAGCAGUUUAACAUGAUUUAAAAACAUACCGUUAACCAGAGAUAUUGAAGCAGGGGGGAAGACAACAAAACAAAAUCCAUACAAAAUGGCGUCUACUCAUCAAGCACAACCAAAUCUACAGUCAUGUCUAGAUGGGAUACAGCUUGUGGAAUUGAAGUCCAAAGUAAUUUAACCUAAUUCUCCCAGCCUGCUACGUUAAUUCUUCCAACCUGCUUCGAAAACUACAUUUUGAUAAAAGCUGUAUCCCUUCUAGACCUAGGGGCUCUCAUUCGUUCCUACUUCCUCCCCUCCCGGGUGUACGUUUUGGGUUUUUGCCCUAGCGCAACACAGCCGAUUCAAAUGACCAACUCAUCAUCAAGCUUUGAUGAUUUGAAUCAGCUGUGUAGCUGGGCAAAAACCCAAAACGUACAGGAAGUAGGAAUGAAUGAGAACCCCUAGGUCAAGACAAUCACCACCUCCUCAUCGAUUCUUCUCGUUUUUAAAUAGGUUCAUAAAAAUACAAUAUUUUAAUGGAGGAUCUAGAACAGGGGUCUCCAACCCUGGUUCUGGAGAUACCCUCUCCAACCCUGGUUCUGGAGAUACCCUCUCCAACCCUGGUCCUGGAGAGACCCUCCUGUAGGUUUUAACUCCAACCCUGGUCCUGGAGAGAGACCCUCCUGUAGGUUUUAACUCCAACCCUGGUCCUGGAGAGAGACCCUCCUGUAGGUUUUAACUCCAACCCUGUUCCUGGAGAUACCCUCCUGUAGGUUUUAACUCCAACCCUGGUCCUGGAGAGAGACCCUCCUGUAGGUUUUAACUCCAACCCUGGUCCUGGAGAGAGACCCUCCUGUAGGUUUUAACUCCAACCCUGGUCCUGGAGAGACCCUCUCCAACCCUGUUCCUGGAGAGAGACUCUCCUGUAGGUUUUCACUCCAACCCUGUUCCUGGAGAGAGACCCUCCUGUAGGUUUUAACUCCAUUAAUAUCAGGUAGAUCAGGGUUGGAGCAAAAACCUACAAGACAGUAGGACUCCAAGAACAGGGUUGGAGAACCCCAUAGAGAUAGAUAGAUGACUCAUCUUUGUAUCUGUGCCAAGAUAGGUGAGCAGGGCCAUUUUGAAGUAGUACGUUUUCUUCUUCACGAUUGGCUGAUUCCUCCUGAUGACCCGGUUGGACUCCAACUUAAUUUAUUUAACUACAUAAAAAUGGUGUAAGUCCUCAAUGGCGCUGUCCAUGUUAAAUGGCCUUUUGGCCACUAGAGGCCUCUAUCAUUCUCUAUGGAGAACCUUGAUGUAGACUAGAGACGAGAUGUUUCAUAGAGGUCAGACUCCGAGGUCAUGGUUAGAGAGUUCAGAGGGGGAUUUCUCCAAACAAAAAAUGUCACACAGACUUUACGCAACUAACUUGACGUCGUGUCGUAGUUUACCACUGGGCUACGUUUCUGUUAUUACACAUGAUCAAACAACAGCAUCAACCACAUGAUCAAACAACAGCAUCAACCACAUGAUCAAACAACAGCAUCAACCACAUGAUCAACCACAUGAUCAACCAACAGCAUCAACCACAUGAUCAACCACAUGAUCAACCACAUGAUCAACCAACAGCAUCAACCACAUGAUCAAACAACAGCAUCAACCACAUGAUCAAACAACAGCAUCAACC
ensembl:lncRNA